rnacentral:rRNA from 1 species
UCAGGACGAACGCUAGCGGCGUGCCUAACACAUGCAAGUCGAACGGAGUGAUUGCGGAAGUGCCUUCGGGUGCGGAGGCUUUCACUUAGUGGCGGACGGGUGAGUAACGCGUGAGCAACCUGCCUUUCAGAGGGGGACAACAGCUGGAAACGGCUGCUAAUACCGCAUGAAGCACAGAAGUCGCAUGAUUUUUUGUGCCAAAAGAUUAUAUCGCUGAAAGAUGGGCUCGCGUCUGAUUAGAUAGUUGGUGGGGUAACGGCCUACCAAGUCUACGAUCAGUAGCCGGACUGAGAGGUUGAACGGCCACAUUGGGACUGAGAUACGGCCCAGACUCCUACGGGAGGCAGCAGGUGGGGAAUAUUGGGCAAAGUGGGGGAAACCCUGACCCAGCAACGCCGCGUGAAGGAAGAAGGUCUUUCGGGUUGUAAACUUCUUUUACCAGGGACGAAGGACGUGACGGUACCUGGAGAAAAAGCCACGGCUAACUACGUGCCAGCAGCAGC